CGGCCCCGCUGCGCCACAGAGCCGGGUCGGAACGGGCUCCUUACCCCCCCAUAUGCCCAGUUUGAGCUGGGAUUUGUUCAGGUUCUCCACAUAGUCGCCCAGGAAGCGGUUCAGCAGAUCCGCCACCACCGACUCCAGCACCAUAGCGGAGGCGGGCCCACCGUACGCCGCCCGCGGCCCACCUGCUGUCUGUGCAGAGCCAUUUGUACCCUUGGGAAGCAUCAGUGCAAGAAAACAAGGACAAGCUUCACUUCGACUGUGAAUUAGUUUUCAGAUAAAUCUGGAUUAAAAAAUGGCAUUCCUGCAGACUGUACUUCAUUCAAAGCCAAGACUCAAAAAUCUUCAUAGCUUUCAUGUGUUUACAAAAGAACAAAUACUGCAUAAAUACCACAUGGGCUCAUCUUGCACACAGUGUGUGUGCACAGUCAGGGUGCUCCGUGGGCUGCAAAAACCUUUAUUCAAAGGUGAACUUUGGCAAACUUUUCCCCAGUGGGUCAGAAGACACUGCAAGGGCAUACUCAAGACCAGUGUUGAGACCAAAUAGUCAUAUGAGAAGAAGCCUUUGAGAAGUAUUUUGAAAGCCUAUCUGAUUUCAGGAUUUAUAAUAUUUAAAUUUCCAGUGAUGAAUAAUUGGAGUCAGUGUGAAAACACAGCCUUUUGGCAAAGAACUCAUGAGCUGGCAAACAGCUUCAGGAGACAGUGGACUCUAAUUAGAAUCAAGGAGUUGGCUGCAUAAGCAGAUCAAAGGCUUUUUGAAAGAAAGGGAUUAUUUCCUGAAUGCUUCAAGUGCAUAGCAACGUGAUGUAAUUCGUAACAUAAAUGCAAUUCCUGGAUGUUCCUCUUAUCCAGAAGCUUGACAGGAUGUGCAGCUGCUAUGAAUGGACUGGUGGUAUUUCAGCAGGGAGGCAGUGUUCCACUGAACAGCACCAGCCCUGUAACACUGAAGAUGUGCCAGACUUGGGCAAUAAAAGGGACCUUGUUCUGCUUCAGCUCCAGCCUUGUCCAGCAUCAUGCAGUGACACUUGGAGAUCUUCCAAGAACUUGUGUCACAGGCUCUGCUGGAGCAGAGGACAAAGUAAGCUAACUGCUACCCAGCUUUGUGCUGUACCAAAGCUGUUCCCAUGUGUGCCAGUUUAGAAAGUUACAACCGAAUAUAAAAACAUUUAAAGCAUCUCUAUCCAAAGACAUAUAUGAAAUGCAAGCUGCUGGUUUUUUCCACUACGAAAUUUAAAUGAAGAAUACAAACAGCAGAUGAAAUUUGGUUUAAGAGAGUACCAAGGAAGGAGGAAAAGGUCUGAUGGUUUGACAGUUUUGAUGCAGUCUGAGAAGUAUGUGAGCCAUGAGGCUGCCGAACCUCACUGUUUUACCAGCCUUCACUCAAGAACCUGUUUGAUAAGUCAGAGCUGCCCCGAGAAAUGUCAGCAGUUCAUGGAGUUCAGUGGCUGAGAGACACACAGAGGAGCAAAGACCCGCUGGAAGCUCUUUUCCUUGUAAACCCCUUAAAUACAAAGAAACUGGCGGCAUAAAGCAUGACUCCCUUAAGUGAUGCAAGCACAGAGGAAGUAGCUCUUCUUCCCUUCUCCACUGUCUGUGUGAUGCUGUGCACAGUCCAGGCUGAGAGCUAGUUUCAGGCAUCUGAAGUCUACCAAUUCCUGCCACCUGCGUUUUCUAUCAGUCAGUUUUCUGCACAGAAGGUUAGUUCACGGACACUCUGGAACGUUCAACUUCCUUUUACCUUCACUAGGAGGAAAGAUAAUCCAGAAGGAUUUUAAAAGAAUGAAAGAAAGAUUGGUUUUCUUCUAACACGCUAUUAAUAAUGUUAAUAUUUCUAGAGUGCAUUUUAGUGGCAGUCCUCAGCAUUAUGUCUGUAUUGAAUACCAUCUUAUUUAAAAAUGCAUGUGAAUUUUACGUGGCUCUGUGCGUGUGUGUUCGGAAUACGUGGUAAUGGAAGAUAGAUAGCAUUUAAUUAUGCCAUUUGUUUCAUCACCGUAAGGCUACUGUUUGUUUUAACCAAACAUCCUGCUACAAAAAGCCAUCAAUAGAUGUGACUCAUUACCUUUCCUACCUUGACCAAAUAUCAUGCCCAACAAUUCAGCCCCCUGUGCAAGCUGAAGACCUCUAAUCUAGAUGCAGGACAGGCAGGAGACUGAAGCAGGCAGUAGUUACUGGAGAGCACAAGGAUGGCCCAGUGAACACGUGGCCUGUGGCACUCCUAGGGAUUUCUCCAGGACAGCUUUCCUGACCUGGGGCAAAUACCCUGGUGUCCCAAAUGCAGGUUUUCCACAAAUUUAUACAUUUGUCUACCUUUUUGUCCCCCUGCUUUCUGAGUUACGUUAUAUCAAAUCCAAAGAAAUUUUCCCACAACGCUUUCAGUUUUCCCCUGCAUCCUCUACAGUGGCCAUCCUCUUUCAAGAGCUCCUUCCCAGGAUGGGCUCAGAGACAGCAGAGGUGCCAUUUUCAGCACUGCCUUUUCAGAGCUGGUCUGAAAAAACAGGAGCAGCAUGGAACAAGUGGUGCCAUAGAUAGAAUGUGAUACUGCAGUAACUGUGUCUCCUAAUCCCUGAUCUGCACAUCUGUGCACUCAGGCUUUUGAGGUCAUAGGUAUUUCCUUCCCAUGGUGCUAUUGCUGAUAUUUACAUGAAAAGUAGCACAGUUACAGGAACUGCAUUUUACACUGCAUAGUGCUAUCUGCACAGGUUUGUUUCUGAUCUAAUAAUCAGGACAAUGGCAUCAAAAUAGGGAAGUACUUGCUUUUUGCAGUAAUGUUUGUCCACAACCAUCUGAAGAGGCAUGACUGAAAUAACUCUGUUUCAGAAGGCCAGCACAAUGAGUACAUCCAGUGCAGCAGAAACAGACAAUAUUUGCAUAGCAAAACAAGAGCAUGGGAUCUCAGCAGUAAGAACUUAUUUUCUCAAAUAUUUGUCACUGUUUUUAAAGCAUGCUGUUACCAGGUGAUUCUUUGGCCAGUGAGCACCACUGAGCACCUCUGAUCACACUGCUCCAAACUGGAGUUCUGUCUGAGAGAGCAAUGUAGCGUACCACUUUUUCAUAUAUGGCAUUUUAAAAGUUAGAAGACUUCUGAUCAGGACUUGCUUAACUCUGAGGAGCUGUUUUUGAGUGCUAGCAGGUGGAUUUUCUUCUUGCUGUUGACUCACACUAGCACUGAAGCAUCACGACUUUUUUCAGGUUGACGUAUCCGGUUGCAUUCUUGUUUGCUCAUGCAGGUGUUUUACGUACAGCCCCAGGACAACUGACGCUACUGGAAAGCAGCUGCAGCAUAGGCAGCAUUGUAGGAAUUCACCACUUCAGUCUAGUUCAGCUCUGAGCUCACAAGAAAAUAAGCCCAAGUCAUCCCUUAGCAGGCAAGCCUAUCAUCAAACUUCUGUAAGAUAACUUGCUCAGGAAUAAGUUGUUUUAUAAAGAACAUUAGAAACAGCUCAAUGCUCUUUCUC